UUCUUCCCUUACAGAUGCCACUGCACACAUUGGCUUCUUCUUCUCUGCUUCUAUUUAAACCUCAUUCAUGAGCUCUUGAGGCGCACAGUACUCUACUGUGGGUAGCUGUGUGUGUUGGUGUGUGUGUGUGUGUGUGUGUGUGUGUGUGAGCCGUGCGCAGGUCACCACGUGCACUCUUUGGUUAUGUUUGGGACACAAACGAGCGCUUUUCGUCCCGGCCCUCCUCGCUGUGGGUAGUUUCCUCUCCUGCGUGUGAUCCGCUCCGAGUGGUGUGAGAGGCUUGUCCUGUACUUCGUCCGUGUGUGCGUCCGUGUGUGUGUGUGCGUCCGUGUGCGUGUGUGUUUCUAAAGAACAUUUUUUGUUACGUGUGAAUACGCUAGUUAUGAAGUUUCACGUUGAACUCUAGGUCAGACAUCAACAACAGUUAACGCAAAUCACAGUUCUAAGCAAACGCUCACCUAACUACAUACGAUUAAAAAAAUAAAGGAAAAUUGCACAAUUAUAUCUACAA